rnacentral:rRNA from 9 species
CGCACAAGCGGCGGAGCAUGUGGAUUAAUUCGAUGCAACGCGAAGAACCUUACCUGGGCUUGACAUGUAUGGAUUAGCUCUUGGAAACAUGAGUGACGCCCUUUGGGUGGAACAUACACAGGUGCUGCAUGGCUGUCGUCAGCUCGUGCUGUGAAGUGUCGGGUUAAGUCCCUUAACGAGCGCAACCCUUAUCGCUAGUUGCCAGCGCGUCAUGGCGGGGACUCUAGCGAGACUGCCGGUGUCAAACCGGAGGAAGGUGGGGAUGACGUCAAGUCCUCAUGGCCCUUACGCCCAGGGUGGCAAACGUGCUACAAUGGCGUGUACAAAGCGAUGCAAUAUCGUGAGAUGGAGCAAAUCGCAAAAAGCACGCCCCAGUUCGGAUUGGAGUCUGCAACUCGACUCCAUGAAGCCGGAAUCGCUAGUAAUCGGAGAUCAGCCACGCUCCGGUGAAUACGUUCCUGAGCCUUGUACACACCGCCCGUCAAGUCAUGGAAGCCGGGAGUGCCCGAAGUCGCUCUGAUUCAGGAGUGCCCACGGCAAGUUCGGUAACUGGGACUAAGUCGUAACAAGGUAGCCGUAGG